UACGUAGGGUCCGAGCGUUGUCCGGAAUUACUGGGCGUAACGAGCUCGUAGGUGGUUUGUCGCGUUGUUCGUGAAAACUCACAGCUCAACUGUGGGCGUGCGGGCGAUACGGGCAGACUGGAGUACUGCAGGGGAGACUGGAAUUCCUGGUGUAGCGGUGGAAUGCGCAGAUAUCAGGAGGAACACCGGUGGCGAAGGCGGGUCUCUGGGCAGUAACUGACGCUGAGGAGCGAAAGCGUGGGGAGCGAACAGG
rnacentral:rRNA from 1 species